GUAGGCAGAAGUAUCUGGCUGCAGUAGGGGGUCCGACUCUGAUCAAGGCAGGGGGCUGACAGCUGACCUCUGAGUGUCUGUGAGGAAAGUGCAUCCCUGUUCUGUAGAGCACACGGGUGGGUUCUGCAGAAGCGCGAUGGGUACCCAAUGCUUUUGGUUGUAAGUUCUGGGCGGUACUACUUAUCCUUGGAGCCCUAUCACAGGUGGCCAGGUAUUGUGGGUGGGGCCACCAGUCCUUAGGCCCCUGAUGUGGGUAGGUGAAGACCCUGUUUAAUAGGCAAAGCAGUGUCAAACAUCAAACACCCAUCUUUCCACCGUCCAGCUGAAACAGUUGCAGUCUGGCAACAAGGGCCUAUUCUCCUGAAAUGGGCCCACACAGGUCCAUGCUGGGGUGAAAGGUAUUCAAAGCCCAUGGACUGUCUGUGCCUGAACAAGAGCUGCUUCUGUCCUGAGCUCCCCAGCUUAAUUGAGCUGGCAGAUUAUCUUUCCCCCAGUUGUGAACUUAUACCUUCUUCAAGGAUGGAAAAAUGGCUCAGAGUGGUACCAGGGCCUAUCUCAGGCCCAGGGAAGUUGACAGCCACUGAAGCCGGCUUGGGGGCUGGGGGCGUAGUAAAAUAAACACAAGUAAUUAGCUUUUGCUGAGAGUGCCGUUCUUCUCUUGUUCUGGAGGUGUGAGUAGUCUGUGCAACUUGCUGUCCUUCCCUGAGCUAAACGCCUGUGGAAUGCUAUUGCCAGCCCCACUGCAGUCGCUCCAGGGAACGGUGCCUGAGGGUUCCUGGCUAUUCAGGUCCAGUAACUCCUCUCCACUUCUGAAUAGUCUCUCCCUCCCCCUGCCGCUGAGUCCAUUUUCUAACUUUACCUUUGAUGUUCAGGGCUCCUAGCUUGUCAUAAAUAUAAUCGCUUCACUUGUUUUUUCGUGUCUUUUUUGUAAGAGGGAUCACUGGUGGCGUCUCAAUACUCAAAACUUCAUCAUUUCUUCCUUUCACUUUAGCUACUCGACAUUCAAGAGCAACGUUCAGAGUCUCUUCCGACAUCCGUUUUGGUCUUUUCUUUCUUUCCUGUCUUUUAAAGGAUCUCUUGCUUUCUUCAUGUGUGAUGUCCUUGAUGUCAUUCCACAACUCGUCUGGUCUUCAGUCGUUAGUGUUCAACACGUAAAAUGUGUUCUUGAGGUGGUCUCUAAAUACAGGUGAGAUAUACUCAAGGUCAUAUUUUGGCCCCUUUUGACUUAUUCUAAUUUUCUUCAGUUUCAACUUGAACUCCCAUAUGAGCAAUUGACAGUCUGUUUCACAAUCGAUCCCUGGCCUUGUUCUGACUGAUGAUAUGAGUUUUCCCAUCUUCUCUUUCCACAGAUGUAGUCAGUUUGAUUCCUGUGUAUUCCAUCUGGUAAAGUCCACGUGUAUAGCUGCCGUUUAUGUUGGUGAAAAAAAAUAUUUGCAGUGGAUGAGUCACUGGUCUUGCAGAAUUCUUUCAUGAGAUUUCUGGUGUCAUUUAUUUCAGCGAUGCUGUAUUUUCCAACUACUUUUCCUUCUUUGUUUCCAACUUUAACAUUCUAAUGACCAGUAAUUAUCAAUGCAUCUUGAUUGCAUGUUUGAUCAAUUUCAGGCUGCAGAAGUUGUUUAAAAUCUUCAAUUUCUUUAUCUUUGGCAUUAGUGGUUGGUGCAUAAAUUUGAAUAGUCGUAUAAACUAGUCUUCCUUGUAAGUGUAUGGAUUUUAGCCUAUCAGUGACAACAUUGUACUUCAGGCUAGAUCUUGAAAUGUUCUCUUUGAUGAUAUGUAACGUCAUUCUUUUGACUCUAGUGGAAUAUCCAUGUUUGUAAGACUGCUCACAGACUGUUUCACCAGAGAGUUUUCUGGUACUGCAACAUCUACCACUAAUCUCUGUGAUCCCUGUGAAUUGGCAAAAUAAGAAUAGUGCUAUAGAUUUCUUCCAAAUACAGAAAACAUAAGUAUGAAAAUGUUCUUGCUGUUGAUUAUAUUCUUUACCAAUCUGUUUGUAUGGGAUUUUUGGUACUUCACUUGAAAAAUGAGUCCAAGGUACUGUGAUGUGAUUGUUUACUUUGUGUGGCCUUUCUAGCCAUGGUCUUAUAACAUCCACCCUGGUGCUUGGGCAGGACUGUGUGAUAGGGUAAUUGUGGCUCACCAAGGGGAUUGUUUAUUUUCCCUUCAAAGAGAACCAGUUCCAGAGCAAAGAGGAGGAUUCAACUCCCAUCAAGGAAGAACAGCCAAGAGCCGAGCAUAUAUUAUGGACCUGAGAUCCCUGCACUGAGAAGCUCCUAGAAGCAGGAGACUGAGAUAGAGAGAGGAAGCUGUAACCCUGAAGAUGCUUAAAUACAGACCAGAAGAGGAGUUUGGGGCUUGACACCUGACAUCUUAACACCAGUUCCUGUUUCUUGAGGAAGGAAGAGGUAAAAUAAAUCAGCGUUUACUGUUUCCUUCUCCAUCCCCGGAAGUCCUGAUGAAGACCCUCUCAGCUUCAACUUGAACGUGAAUAUGAGCAACUGAUCAUCUGUUCUGCAGUCAGCCCCUGGCCUGAUUCUGACUCAUGAUAUUGACCAAGUGAAGAGUGAUUUAGAGAAAAACAUGGGUAGAGUGUGACCUAAUUUCCAUAAAAACAAAUGAAUGUACUUACAUGUGUCCCGGCAAAAAGAAGUGUGUAAAAGGGUACAUAUGUAUCUUUGGACACUGGACACUUCAGGGGAGCAGGUACAAUAUACUUAUGUGGGGAUGGCUCUUAUUAAAACUUCUAUAUACAAAUCUCUAUUGUUAAAUGUGUUAUAAGAAUGUAAAAGCUUUUAAAGUUUAAUAACAUCAUACGUGUAUGUGUGUGUAUUUGAAACUUUUUUUUUUUUUUUACUAUUUUAUAUAUGUGUUUUUUAGUUAUCUAGUUUUUUUUUUAGUGUGGCUAUAGCAGAGAUACCACAAGUGGAUGGCUUUAACAAACAGAAACUUAUUCUCUCACAGUUUAAGAAGCAACAAGUUUGAAGUCAGGGCACCAGGUCUAGGAGAAAGCUUUCUCUCUUUGUGGCUCUGGGGGAAGGUCCUUGUCAUCUAUCUUCCCCUGGCCUAGGAAAUUCUCAGCGUGUGGACACUGGGUCAAAAAGACGUGCUCCACUCCAGACACUUCUUCCUUGGUGGUAUGAGGUCCCUCUCAUUUCCGCUCACUCUUCUCUUUGUAUCUCAAAAGAGACUGACUCAAGACUCACCCUAAUCCUGUAGAUUGUGUCCUCCCUCAUUAACCUAACUGUCUCUAAUCCCGCCUUAUUAACAUCACAGAGGUUAGAAUUUACAACACAUAAGUAAUUACAUCAGAUCACAAAAUGCAGGACAACCACACAAUACUGGGAAUCAUGGUCUGGCCAGGUGGGCACACAUUUUGGGGGACACUAUUCAAUCCAUAACAAUAGAGAAAACACUGUCUUCAAUGCCAGAUUCAGAGACUUUUAUCCAUCUAUGAAGGGCAAACACAGAAAUUGAACAAAAUUCAGACCAGCGAAUUAUUGCUUGCUCUUGUAACUAACGACUUCUUCUGGUCUCUGUACCUGGAAAUGGCCAAAACGAAUUCUGUGAGGAUUAAUUCAGUUAUUGCUAAAACAUCUACUGCAUUUACAUGUCUACAGAUAAGGAAGAAUGCUGGACACCAUGUGUGAUUCAUUAAGUAACACAGGGACUAUUAGACUGUUGUUCUCCUUCUCUGAUAUGCCACUAUCACCUUCUCCCCUUGUUGCUCUCCUGAAAAACCCACACUUGUAUAUUCUAGGCUUUUUUCCAGGAUUGAAUUUGCAGGAAGUUGAAGAUAUAUCUUUGAAAGAUAAAAAAGACUUUGGCCACAUUGUCUUUAGACAGUCAAACUUCCCAGCCAGCCUCUGUGCAGGAUGGGAAUUCACAAUCCCUCCUACUCAGUACCUCUGAGCAGGACAGGAUUUCUGUUUCAUUAUCAGGAGACUGUGGAAUUCACCCCUCUUCAGAAAACUUACUUUCCUUUGCCUCAAACUGUCCCUCUCAGGAUCUGUCACGGUCACUCUGAGAAAUUCACAUGGGCAGCCUGUAUGGAAGUGCCCAUCCUAGAGACCCUGCCCUCCCUUCCUUGCUCCGUAGGGCUUCCUCUGACACUUGGGGUCACAUCUCCCAGUGAGUACACACCUCUGGCACUUCCAGGGAUUCCCAGGCCCUGGGAUACUGUGGAUGGGACUUGGAACUCAAUCUCUUUCUUCCCAUCCUCACCUUUGGUUAUCUGUGUUCUGUCUUCACCAGAUUUAGGAGGCCUUGUCUUCUCUUUGCUCAUUUCAUUUCAGUCAGGCUUUUCUAUUCCAACUCUCUGAUCUCAGGACAGAUCAGGUUAGACCACAGAAAAGAGAAAGACCAAGCAAACAUCACUGAUCUGUGCAGAAGCUGCUGGGAAGGGAUUCGAUUCUCAUUGGUUUAGGGUUUUAUGCCCACUGCUCACCGGCAGGCAGGUUCCCCCCAGAGUCUGGGUUCUGUCUGGUACCUUGUACUACAAAGAACUCAGUGACCAGCCCACCUUCACAAUCACACCUCCCUUAGAGCUACCUUUGCAGAGGCUCUUUCUCAGACUUCCAUGUCCCACUGAAAUCCCAUUUCUCUUUCCUUACAAACAUUGUGCUCAUUCUCAGGGCCCCGAGACCUUAUCUGCAGGUGAGUCUUGUCCUCUUCUCUCCUUGGCUUUUGAGUGGACCUCAUGUCUUCGGACAGCUAUCCUGGGGCUUCUUCCACCCUGGUGCUCUGGGGCUGGAUCUCUCCAUGUACUAGAGGGGGCGUGGAAGGGGCACAAGGCUAAAAGGAUGGAUCUUCCAGGUGAGGUGGGUUUAAGAAGCCUGAAUGAAGUUCUUCCCUGAAGGGUGCAUAUUUUGCAGUCCACACAUCCUGCUUCUCUCAGUCUGAGAGUCCUAGCAUGUCUUCAUGUGCUUUCUCCUUUGACUUUGAGGCCAUGCCUGCACCCUCUGCAGCCAGGUCUCCCACAUGUGUAGCAGCACCAGUAGGUGUGGUAGCCUCUUCAGCCCCUGUCUCCUCCUCCAUAUGCUCCUGGAGGUACCUGGCUCUUCUUGCCAGGACUCCAGGAUGCUGACCAGGAACUCAGUGUUGGUUAGACUGAGGGCAGCCA